ensembl:lncRNA
CCUUGCCCCCAGCUAUGUCGUUGCCCAACAAAAAUGACACCCCGUCAACUGGCAACUUUUGGACCACCCCUACACGGAACCGGCCAGACACAACAGACGACGACAGGGACAGAGACGCCACCACCUCCUGUGCCUUCCCUGUCAGCCUACACUGGAGCAGCAAAGGCCAGACCUCCUUAGGCCAGCGAAGAGCCCCUGCUACUCUCUCAAAAGCGGAGAAGUAGGAAUCCACUUCUGCUUCUCUGAAUGGAGGAACGACAGCUAUGUUUCUCCCAACAUCAAAAGGCCCCUCUCUUCCCACUGGUCAGCUUCAAGGCGGGCCAGCCGAAGCCUAUGUCUAGCGGUCUCCCCCGAGCCCUCAGGCUCAAAAGGAGAUGGCUCGAACUUGGGUAGGGUCAAAGGCACCCGUGUCGCCACCCCCACACCGCCCUCCGGCCGUGCAGGCGAG